rnacentral:rRNA from 1 species
GCAGAUUCAUUUUCUGCCACCGAAUACAUUAGCAUGGGAUAAUGGAAUAGGACCCUGUCCUCCUAUUUUCAGUUGGUUUUGGCAGCGCGAGGACUAGGGUAAUGAUUAAUAGGGAUAGUUGGGGGCAUUAAUAUUUAAUUGUCAGAGGUGAAAUUCUUGGAUUUAUGAAAGAUUAACUUCUGCGAAAGCAUCUGCCAAGGAUGUUUUCAUUAAUCAAGAACGAAAGUUAGGGGAUCGAAGACGAUCAGAUACCGUCGUAGUCUUAACCAUAAACGAUGCCGACCAGCGAUUAGGAGACGUUGAAUACAAAACACCACCAUCGGCGCGGUCGUCCUUGGCGUUCGUGUUCACGCACGGGCGCGAGGGCGGUUUAGCCCGGUGGCACCGGUGAAUGACUCCUAGCAGCUUGUGAGAA